GACGAACGCUGGCGGCGUGCUUAACACAUGCAAGUCGAACGGUAAGGCCCUUCGGGGUACACGAGUGGCGAACGGGUGAGUAACACGGGGGUGAUCUACCCUGCACUUUUGGAUAAGCCUGGGAAACUGGGUCUAAUACCGGAUAGGACCAUGCGCUACACGGGGUGUGGUGGAAAGGUUUUGCGGUGUGGGAUGGGCCCGCGGUCUAUCAGCUUGUUGGUGGGGUAAGGGCCUACCAAGGCGACGACGGGUAGCCGGCCUGGGGGGGUGACCGGCCACACUGGGACUGAGAUACGGCCCAGCCUCCUACGGGAGGCAACAGUGGGGAAUAUUGCACAAUGGGCGCAAGCCUGAUGCAGCGACGCCGCGUGGGGGAUGACGGCCUUCGGGUUGUAAACCUCUUUCAGUAGGGACGAAGCGCAAGUGACGGUACCUACAGAAGAAGGACCGGCCAACUACGUGCCAGCAGCCGCGGUAA
rnacentral:rRNA from 1 species